rnacentral:rRNA from 1 species
AGCAGUAGCCGCGGGAAUACGAAGGGUGCAAGCGUUAUCCGGAUUCACUGGGUUUAAAGGGUGCGUAGGCGGGCAGGUAAGUCAGUGGUGAAAUCUUCGAGCUUAACUCGGAAACUGCCGUUGAUACUAUCUGUCUUGAAUAACGUUGAGGUGAGCGGAAUAUGUCAUGUAGCGGUGAAAUGCUUAGAUAUGACAUAGAACACCGAUUGCGAAGGCAGCUCACUAAACGCUCAUUGACGCUGAGGCACGAAAGCGUGGGGAUCAAACAGGAUUAGAUACCCCUGUAGUCCCUGUCUCUUAUAC